AUUCACUCAUCUACCCAUUAAACUAUCCCAUCAACAUCCAUUCAACUUUCUGUCUAUCAACAUCCAUUACACUAUCUAUAUCAUAUUACGCUUGGAGUUCCUGCUUUAAUCUGCGCCUGUGGUUCGCUGGAUUGCUGAGCUGCGCUGAUCUACACUACGACUCCAGUUCCUGACGUUACGUUUGGGGCUAAUCGUUGCCAGUCAUCCCCGUGGGUUUCCUACGGCGUGGAGGCCCAGUGUCUAUAAUCGACCAAGCUGCACCGGCGCGGUGACUGUGGGCUACGUUCAACCGGACUGGGAGUCAGAUACGUCUGCUCCCAGUUUGAUGGUGAGUGCCGCAUUUGUUCAAGUUCAAGAUCUAACCCUCACUGCAUGAGUCAACGAUUAUUGCAACACGUCAAUUGAGAAUUAUAGACUGCCGCCGUAAAUAUAUUAUAGCCUAUGUGGGUAGUGUGGGGAAUUAUAGUGUGUUUAAAUGCUUGAUCGCUCUGUUUUGUGUUUGCUGUGAUAUUUUGCUGUGGAGAUACUGGCGGCUUCUCUUUUGUUGUGUGAGCGCGCGUGUGAUUUAUAGGUGUGCCUUGGAGACUCAGUUGUGAACUGGACUGAUUAAGAGGGGAUUCCCCCAUACGGACUGUUUGGACUUGGUGUAGCGCUGUAGCGUCAGCUGUGUGCGUGCCUGUAUUGGAUGGAACGUGGACUGGUUUAUUCAGAUUGCCCCAUACAUGAAUGAGUGCAUGAAUGUUGUACACUUUUAACUGAAAGCUUGUAAUAAAUAUAUAUUUUUAUACGGA